rnacentral:rRNA from 1 species
AUGUUAACUAUCUCCCACACCUCUAAUGAGUUUAUGGAAGACUUGAAGGAGGCAGAUUUGUGUGCUGCACUUAUUGUAAAAGGAGAAGAGCACCCGACUGUUGAAAUUCCAGCAAAGGUACAUGGCUUAUUAACUGAAUUUCAUAACAUACUUGGGGAGCCACAAGGCCUACCACCGAUGAGAGGGAUUCAACAUGGAAUUGACUUAAUUCCGGGAGAAAGUCUUCCUAAUCUUCCACACUAUCGACUGAGCCCAAAAGAGCACGAUAUAUUGAAGGAGAGAGUGGAAGAAUUGCUACAAAAGGGGCACAUUCGAAAAAGUAUUAGCCCAUGUGUUGUACCGGUCCCUGCUCACGUCCUAGAAAGAUGGAUCUUUGCGCAUGUGACGGACAAUAGAGCCGUUAACAAGAUCACCGUAAGGUAUAGAUUCCCUAUUCCCCGUCUGGAUGAUAUGUUGGAUCAGCUUAGUGGAGCAAGAGUGUUCACAAAGCUAGAUUUAAGAAGUGGAUAUCAUCAACUCCGUAUCAGACCUGGGGAUGAAUUGAAAACCGCCUUCAAGACAAAAGAAGGGUUGUUUGAAUGGCUAGUCAUGCCAUGUGGACUCUCAAAUGCACCAAGUACCUUUAUGCACUUGAUGAAUCAAGUCCUUCGACCCUUCUUAUCCACUUUGUUGUGGUCUAUUUCGAUGACAUCUUGA